rnacentral:rRNA from 1 species
UACGGGGGGGGGUAAGCGUUGUUCGGAAUUACUGGGCGUAAAGGGCUCGUAGGCGGCCAACUAAGUCAUACGUGAAAUCCCUCAGCUUAACUGGGGAACUGCGUGUGAUACUGGAUGGCUUGGAUUUGGGAGAGGGACGCGGAAUUCCAGGUGUAGCGGUGAAAUGCGUAGAUAUCUGGAGGAACACCGAUGGCGAAGGCAGCCUCCUGGGCCAACACUGACGCUCAUGCACGAAAGCGUGGGGAGCAAACAGG